AGAUUGAACGCUGGCGGCAGGCCUAACACAUGCAAGUCGAGCGGCAGCACGGGUACUUGUACCUGGUGGCGAGCGGCGGACGGGUGAGUAAUGCCUAGGAAUCUGCCUGAUAGUGGGGGAUAACGCUCGGAAACGGACGCUAAUACCGCAUACGUCCUACGGGAGAAAGCAGGGGACCUUCGGGCCUUGCGCUAUCAGAUGAGCCUAGGUCGGAUUAGCUAGUUGGUGGGGUAAUGGCUCACCAAGGCGACGAUCCGUAACUGGUCUGAGAGGAUGAUCAGUCACACUGGAACUGAGACACGGUCCAGACUCCUACGGGAGGCAGCAGUGGGGAAUAUUGGACAAUGGGGGCAACCCUGAUCCAGCCAUUCCGCGUGAGUGAAGAAGGCCUUC
rnacentral:rRNA from 1 species